CACGUAGGGUGCGAGCGUUGUCCGGAAUUAUUGGGCGUAAAGAGCUCGUAGGCGGUCCGUCACGUCGGGUGUGAAAUUCCAGGGCUCAACCCUGGAUCUGCAUUCGAUACGGGCGGACUAGAGUUCGGUAGGGGAGACUGGAAUUCCUGGUGUAGCGGUGAAAUGCGCAGAUAUCAGGAGGAACGACCGGUGGCGGAAGGCGGGUCUCUGGGCCGAUACUGACGCUGAGGAGCGAAAGCGUGGGGAGCGAACAGG
rnacentral:rRNA from 1 species